AUUGAACGCUAGCGGGAUGCUUUACACAUGCAAGUCGAACGCGUGGAGGACGGGAGAGUAAUAUAUCGGAACGUGACCAGAAGCGGGGGAUAACUACUGGAAAGAGUGGAUAAUACCGCAUAGUAUUAGAGCGGCCGUUAUCGGAUUAUCUAGUUGGUGGGGUAAAGGCUAACCAAGGCAACGAACCGUAGCGGGUUUGCGAGGACGACCAGCCACACUGGUACUGUGAUACGGCCCAGACUCAGACGGGAGUCAGCAGUAGGGAAUUUUGGGAAAUGGGGGAAACCCUGAUCCAGCCAUCCCGCGUGUAUGAGAAGGCCUUCGGGUUGUAAAGUACUUUUGUCAGAGAAGCGGUAUCUACAGAGUAAGCAACGGCUAACUACGUGCCAGCAGCCGCGGUAAUUC
rnacentral:rRNA from 1 species